rnacentral:pre_miRNA from 1 species
UUAGUUCAUAUUUGUAUGGAGUUGGAACGUUUGCCUACCUACGUUUGCCGCUAGGGGCGCUGUUCCAACUACAUACAAAAUUGUGCUA